UUAACCGAAUCUUCAAGAUUUGCGCUCUAUGGAAGUGUCCCUCUUGCACUUAUGGUGCAAGGCUAACGCGGUUGCAGAUGCCUUGGUGAAGGAUAGGGCUGCUAGUAAUGGUUUUGUACUUAAACAGGCCCCAGUCCUAACCGGGAUGUUUUUAUAUUCCAAUGUUGUACAAAUUACCAUUUUUGGUCCCUAGCCAGUUUUGAACAGAUACUGUUAUAUGCAACCAUCUAAUUUCUUUACCAUUAUUACAAUAUCAACUUGCUUAAAAAAAGAAAAAUGGACCAUACUUAAAAGUGUUAUCUGAAGCUGCUGCCUAGGUCAUAUGAAUCAUGAGAUCUGUACCCUAACGUUUUUCCUUUUUCUUUGGUUUAGUAGCUGGGUGGCUUAAAGCACAUAAGCUGCUGGUUGCAACAUCAAGCACCUCCCAAUCUAUAUAUGAUGUUCAAUCUUCAUCCUAGAAUAAAUCAAAUUAGUCAUUGGUGCAAAAUGCACUUUGGGGCAAUUGCUGACCUGCUGCACCUGUAUCAAUGGGCGUUAAAUUCAUUUAAAUUCAUUUUGGUGAUUUAAGACUUCAAUAAGCUUAUAAUCUUCAUACAAUGGAAAAAUAAGCUGUUGAUCUUCAUGGGCAUUAAGUAUGGCGGCUUAUCUUAAGUAUCUUGUUCGUUGAAAAUAUAAAACAAUUGUGUAAUGAAUACCUGCCUUUUAGACAUCUUUGGAUUCUGACUGUGCAUCUUCGUUUGGAUGUUACAGAUCAUCUUGAUCACAGAUCCCAAGAUGAGUGAUCUUCGGGAACCCUUGAGGUAUGUUUGUAACUUAUAUGUUGAAUACGUGGUCAAGAAUCCGCUCUAUGUUCUUGGGAACCUAGUCAGGUAAUCUAUUUGUAUUUGUUUUAUAAUCUUAGCUUAUUAAUUUUGACUCUAAUAUUUGUUAUACAAGAUGACUUGUUUGUUUAACCUCAUCAAAGUAACUAUGGUAAUAUUUGUUUGAUUGAUAAUACCAUGAUUGCUGGGAGGUUAUUGUUUGUACUUCUAACUGUAGUAUUCCACAUUUAUACCGAACUUUAUGAAGUAACAGUUAGCCAAAUGCACAUAAGAACUGAAUGUGUAAUUUUGGUAGAUGUUCAUUAUGGUCAACCUAAAGAUCUUUUAGCUUGUUCUUGCUUCUUGAUUUUCCGAAGUUAUUGGAGUUUAUGUUGAGAAUUACUAAAAAAUUCUCAAAAUACUGCAUGAUUUUGCCAAGCUGUACUGUGGACAUAUUUAAACAACUAUGCUAAUCACCUGCAUGUCCUUUCAGUUUCCAUCUGUGAACUCCUAAGAUGAGCUCCAACUUGGUCUCCAUAGAUUUGUGCCACAGGAUUCACAUUCAUAUAUGUGGUAUGCCCAGUUGAUGUGCAUCUAGAAAUUUUACAAGGCCUGGCUGCAUCUCUCUCUCUCAGAAGUUUUUAGGCGAAGAAUAAAUCAAUUCAAAAUCCAACUUGUAUCAGGAAUGACACCAGAUUCAGCAGCAAUGGCAGACAGCUGUAAUUUUAUAGGCUUGACAUUUAGUAAAAAUGCUCAGAUUAGGAUCAAAUCAAUGCAUAGGUAAUGCUUUAGAUAGAAACAAAAAAUGCUGUUAAGGACAUUCCAGAUACAAAACCAAACAUUUAUCAGAAUAUUAACUUUGGUGGUCAGAAAACUGCAGUACUUCGUGGAUGCCAACUUUAUUCACUGCAAUUGAAGUUCCCAUAAGAAGUGCCGAUGAUCUUUAAUGUGGAAUCCCUCAUGGCACAAAAAAUAGCUGUUGUUGGCAGCAGCAUUUAAGUAGUUGUUUUACCAAAGGAUGGGCUGAAGCCAAUACAAGUUUCCCCCGGGGAUGGUUAAGGGUAAUCGUGAAGCAGUUGAGGCACUUUUACCUUUGACAUCCUCCAUUCCAGGAAUUUCAGAAUGGAGCAUUGAAGGAAUAAUUGCACAUACACAGUCACAAGCUGCCAAUGAACCGGCAAUUUGUACAUUCUUGGGCAUUAAAUCACUUGAAGUGUUCAUCAAAGUUACCAGUUGUAUCGAGUUGUCUUGUAUCACACUCAGUGGAUGAAUUCAGUUAUGCUCUAUUAUUUUUUUCCUUAUACCAUAUAUUUUGUCCUCGUGAUUGGGUUUUAACUUACUGUCUGAUGCAGAGGGACUUGGAAACUUCAAAGAGAAGUGACAUGUCAAUGGAGGCUAACUCACAAAAGAAAGAGAUGAUUGAGACAGACAUGGCUUACCACAGAGAAACCAGAAACCCCUAACAUAUGAUGAACAUAAACAAGAUAAGAAGCCACUGAGAUCUUUCUGGGAAUCCACUGAAGCAUCUUCAAGUUCUCACCAAAAUACAAUAAACUCGAAACAGCUAGGGCAUGUUAUUACAGCUCUGGCCAAUCAUCUAGUGACAGGAAUUGAGGGCAAUGAUCCACAACAACAUCUGUAAUGUAGGGUGGAGAUAGUGAUUGUGGUUAUAUUGGUGAAUAUAGAAAUUCUCCUCUGAAUGCUAGAUUCCCUGGAUUGGAUCCAUCGGUCUCUGAUCGAGCUGCGAAGUCCGAUCACAUAAUUGAUGUCAUUCAGAAAUUAAGUUCUCGGCUCACUAAGGCUGCCAGCCUGGCUCAAGGAAACAAGUCAAGUGUACGUAUUGAGAAGGAUGAAGCAGAAAAUGAAAAAAAGGAAUGGAGACAGUUAGCUCCCUCAAGGGAUUGGAGACUUGCCAGGUUGUUCGUUACAACAACUCCUGAGACUGCAAUUCAUGCUUAAAAGAGGAAGAAAGGGUUGCUAUGUAUUCCUUGUAAUUUGGAAACAAUGGAAAAAACAAAGGAAAUCAUUGCAUGAUGAUGAAACAAAACAGUGUAAAACUCCAACAAGAAAUAUGAAUGAAAAAUAAAGGCGGAAUUGAUCAAAA